rnacentral:rRNA from 1 species
GAUGAACGCUAGCGGCAGGCUUAACACAUGCAAGUCGAACGGUAACAGGUCUUCGGAUGCUGACGAGUGGCGCACGGGUGCGUAACGCGUAUACAACCUGCCUUUAACAAAGGGAUAGCCCAUGGAAACGUGGAUUAAUACCUUAUAAUAUAUGACUCUGGCAUCAGAGAUAUAUCAAAGAUUUUAUCGGUUAAAGAGGGGUAUGCGUGACAUUAGAUAGUUGGUGAGGUAACGGCUCACCAAGUCAGCGAUGUCUAGGGGUUCUGAGAGGAUGAUCCCCCACACUGGUACUGAGACACGGACCAG